GUGAAACCCAAAAUAUAGCACAGAAAUAAAAUCUUGCUGGGUUACUCUCUGGGUCUGGCAGGAUAAAUGACCUUUAACUAGUUUAGGGACACAUGACGGAAAUGUUCCAUCAUGCUGGCCUUUUACUUCUGAAGCUGUGACCUUAAGAGGUGAAUGCAUUAAAUACAUUUAGAUGGUGAUUGUAUUAUAGUGUAAAUUGCAUAGAAACCGUAAUUAAUGGUCCAAAACGAUUGCAU